rnacentral:tRNA from 1 species
GCGGAUGUGGUGGAACUGGUAGACACGCUACUUUGAGGUGGUAGUGGAGCAAUCCGUGGAGGUUCGAGUCCUCUCAUCCGCACCA